AAAUGGGAAUAACAGUUUAUCUCAUCAGUAGUAUCUCGACAGUGCAGUGCUUCGGCCGCUCCACGGAUCCAGGCGCCGCCUUUCCAGCCUCCUCUUGUAUCCUCUGCUCUCUAACUGUAAGUCCUCCGCCGCCGCCUUCUCCUCCUCCUCCUGCUGCUUCAAAUUUCAACACUCCACCGAACCUCUGACCUCACCACCUCCUAGCUCCUACUUCUCUUCUUUUCGCCAUCUAAUUUCACUUUUGUUUUCUGAAUUCGAAUUUGGGGAUUUAGGAGUUAGGGAUUCAGUUAAUUUGCUGAAUUAUUCGAUUAAGUGAUUCAAUUAUUGUUAUUUGUGUGCUGUGGCUUUGUGAAUUAUCAAGGGGACCUUUUGUUUUCAGUUGAUCCUUGUAUGAUUUUAUUUUGAAUGGACAUGGUGGUGUUGUACUUGAUAAUGUAGAUGAAGGUGUUGUUUUAAUUAUAGAAUGGGUCGGAAAGUUGGUACCGUAUACAUAAAUCCAAAAAAAUUUGGAACUUUUCACAAACCUUGCAUGAAGGAAAUGAUAGCAUUUCUCAACUGCCUGGCUGCUAACCAGCUCUGUGAUGAUAAGUGUGUCAGCAGAAGGAACUUUUGGGUACUUGUAUGGAGGCUCAGAGCAACAAAAACAGAAAGUCAAUGGGAAGCAUCAAUUACCACUUGCAGAGGCUGAGCAGGGGAAGGAAGUAGUUUGGUUUUGUAGGGAACGUCGUUUAAAUUGAUAUAUGAUUAUUUGUAGUCAUUAGUGACAGAGGCUUCGCAUGGAGAUUGUUUAUAUUGUGACAACCGAGAACGUUCACGGGAUAAUUUCCCUGUUUGAGAUUCAAUAGGUAUGGGAAGUUCUGGACAUUAUUUUGAACAUUUCUGUUGCAGCUUAGUUUGAUAUAAGGAAACUUUUCAUUAAUUUGUAAACCCAAGUCUUUGCCUUGGUAGAACAAAGGCUUAAUUUAUCUUUAUUUUUCAGUAAA